rnacentral:rRNA from 1 species
AUUCAAGAAAAGAAUUUUAGUUCUCCCUAAAGUCCAACAAAUCACCAAUUAUAACCCACAUACUUUAGAGCUACUCAAAUAAGGUACAGCUUAUUUGAAACAGGGUACAACCUACACCAAUGGGUAAUUACAAUUUUAUUGCAAAUCCGUCGGCCUAGAAGCAGCCACCAGGUAAAUGCGUUAAAGCUUUUUUGCUAUAUUACACCCCUCAAUACCAUUUUUUUCCCACAACCCUUCACCACUAUUGAAUAAUUCUAUACUAUAUAGAACCUAUGAUGUUAAAACUAGUAAAAAGAAUACUUUUCUCUUAAAUGUAACCCAAAUCAUUUUUAUCACGCCACUAAAAUUAUAAUAACAACUAUUAUCCUCUCCCUCCCCAUUUAAAAACUUUAUUUUUAACCAACGUUUUCUAACCCAAGAACACUCCAAGCAAGACAAAACAAAAAAAAAGGAACUCGGCAAAUAUAGAUAUCGCCUGUUUACCAAAAACAUCGCCUCUUGACUUCUAUAAGAGGUCCAGCCUGCCCAGUGAAUUUUUAACGGCCGCGGUAUUCUAACCGUGCAAAGGUAGCACAAUCACUUGUUCUUUAAUUAAGGACCGGUAUGAAUGGCACCACGAAUAUCUAACUGUCUCUUUUCUUCUAUCAUUGAAACUAAUCUCCCCGUGAAAAAGCGGGGAUAUAUCUAUAAGACGAGAAGACCCUAUGGAGCUUUAAACCAAAUAGCAAUUAUUUUAAUUCUGCUACAAGGUUUUUGGUCGGGGCAGCCGCGGAGAACAACUUAUCCUCCAAAUUGUACCUAGAAUCUUCUUUAACCAUAAGCCACAUCUUUACGUAUCAAUAAAUUGACAUUAAUUGACCCAGUUUCUGAUCAACGAAACAAGUUACCCUAGGGAUAACAGCGCAAUCUUCUUCAAGAGUUCAUAUCGACAAGCGGGUUUACGACCUCGAUGUUGGAUCAGGGUGACCUGGUGGUGCAGACGCUACCUACGGUUCGUUCGUUCAACGAUUAAUACCCC